GUGCCAGCAGCCGCGGUAAUACGAAUCGUCCAAACGUUGUUCGGAUUCACUGGGUUUAAAGGGCGCGUAGGCGGUGCGUUAAGUCGGCGGUGAAAUACUUCGGCUCAACCGGAGAAUUGCCGCUGAAACUAGCGUGCUCGAGGAAGGUAGAGGUGCGUGGAACUUCCGGUGGAGCGGUGAAAUGCGUUGAUAUCGGAAGGAACACCUGUGGCGAAAGCGACGCACUGGACCUUUUCUGACGCUGAGGCGCGAAAGCCAGGGGAGCGAACGGGAUUAGAUACCCCUGUAGUCC
rnacentral:rRNA from 1 species